rnacentral:rRNA from 1 species
AUCUGUAGCUGGUCUGAGAGGACGACCAGCCACACUGGGACUGAGACACGGCCCAGACUCCUACGGGAGGCAGCAGUGGGGAAUUUUGGACAAUGGGGGCAACCCUGAUCCAGCAAUGCCGCGUGUGUGAAGAAGGCCUUCGGGUUGUAAAGCACUUUUGUCCGGAAAGAAAACCUGCCUGUUAAUACCGGGUGGGGAUGACGGUACCGGAAGAAUAAGCACCGGCUAACUACGUGCCAGCAGCCGCGGUAAUACGUAGGGUGCGAGCGUUAAUCGGAAUUACUGGGCGUAAAGCGUGCGCAGGCGGUCUGUUAAGACCGAUGUGAAAUCCCCGGGCUUAACCUGGGAACUGCAUUGGUGACUGGCAGGCUAGAGUAUGGCAGAGGGGGGUAGAAUUCCACGUGUAGCAGUGAAAUGCGUAGAGAUGUGGAGGAAUACCGAUGGCGAAGGCAGCCCCCUGGGCCAAUACUGACGCUCAUGCACGAAAGCGUGGGGAGCAA